AGUGAACGCUGGCGGCGUGCCUAAUACAUGCAAGUCGAACGAACGAAUAAGAGCUUGCUCUUAUAAGUUAGUGGCGCACGGGUGAGUAAUAUAUAGCUAAUCUGCCUCUUAGUAGAGGAUAACAGUCGGAAACGAUUGCUAAUACUCUAUACUUCUGCUUUACAUAAGUAAAGUAGAGAAAGUUUUUCGCUAAGAGAUGAGGCUAUACUGUAUCAGCUAGUUGGUAAGGUAACGGCUUACCAAGGCUAUGACGCAUAACUGGUCUGAGAGGAUGAUCAGUCACAUUGGAACUGAGACACGGUCCAAACUCCUACGGGAGGCAGCAGUAGGGAAUAUUGCGCAAUGGGGGAAACCCUGACGCAGCAACGCCGCGUGGAGGAUGACACUUUUCGGAGCGUAAACUCCUUUUAUCGGGAAAGAAUAAUGACGGUACCCGAUGAAUAAGCACCGGCUAACUCCGUGCCAGCCGCCGCGGUAAAAGGG
rnacentral:rRNA from 1 species